rnacentral:rRNA from 1 species
GACGAACGCUGGCGGCGUGCCUAAUACAUGCAAGUCGAACGAGUGGCGGACGGGUGAGUAAUGUGUGGGGAUCUGCCCGAUAGAGGGGGAUAACUACUGGAAACGAUGGCUAAAACCGCAUACUAUCGGAUGAACCCAGAUGGGAUUAGCUAGCAGGUGGGGUAAAGGCGCACCAAGGCGACGAUCUGUAGCGGGUCUGAGAGGAUGAUCAGCCACACUGGGACUGAGACACGGCCCAGACUCCUACGUGAGGCAGCAGUGGGGAAUAUUGGACAAUGGGCGCAAGCCUGAGCCAGCCAUGCCGCGUGUAUGAAGAAGGCCUUAGGGUGGUAAAGUACUUUCAGCGGGGAGGCGUUACCCGAAGAAGAAGCACCGGCUAACUCCGUGCCAGCAGCCGCGGUAAUAC